UAAUUUCAUUCCACAUAAACCUAUUUUGCAAAAACACACUCUUACUGUAUAAAACGCAAUGAAAUAUCCGGGAACAUAAAACACAAUCAAAUAUUCUACACCAUAAAAAGUCACACGGAGGUUGAAAAUGAUUAUAGUAGAUAAGUGUUGACCACUUGGUCAAUCUGUUGCUUAUGGCGGAGGUUGGCACCAGAGAGGGUGGCGGCGCAGGGACCGUAGAGGGUGGCAGGACGGGCACUGACGUCCUUAGAUAAUUCUUAAUCGUGUAAUGGUUGGAUGUUUGUUGUGUGUUCGAAUGGAUGACGUGCGUGGCGGUUGACGGUGGUGGGAAUGGCUGGUGUUCUUUUUGCAGAGGGGUGGGUGUGGGUGACAAGAGCAAUUGGUUGUGAAGAUAGGGUUGGGUGAAGAAGAUGAGUGAUGAUAAUGUUCGAGUUGGACCAAAAUACCCUUCCAUCUUUUUUUUUUAGUUUGCCACGUGUAAGACUAGGAUGACUUCCUAGACUUCCUAGCAAGAUACAACUUGCUAUUUGAUCCCCCCUAUGCUAAUAUACAUUGUGGAACAAU
rnacentral:lncRNA from 1 species